UCCUACCUUUGACUCUUAAUGUUUGACCCAGGUUACGCAAAGAUCUCAUUUCGGUUUCCCUGUAACGUUAAGAUUGGCACUCGAGAAUCCGUAGCGAAAUGAAAUGAAAUCAUGGGACUUAGAGACUCCACAAGUCUGGAAUUUAAUCUCAGCACCUGUUACUCUGAUCUAGGGAUGAGGCAAAGACUUCGCUAAGUUAUGGCUCCAUGCAGGACAAAGGAGAAGAAAAAUGGUGGUGACCCAGCAAAGAGCACACGGGACCUGGGGUCGGUGCGGAGGAGGAAAACGGAGGCAGGUGUCAGAGUGUGGCGAAGCGGACCUAAGCACAGGAACGGAGAGCCGAACGUAGGAAGGCGAUAGUUGUACCUUGCGUUGACGCUGCCCUGUAGUCCACCUGCACAGCCCCUGCUUGACCUUGUCAGCCCUUCUCCUCCUUCGAUCCCGCCGUAAGGAGAACCGCAGGCCUCGCUAUCUCUGAGAACCAUCACGGCCCUUCCCCACAUCCCGGCCACAGCGCUCGUGGCAGUACUGCGAGCGGUGAGCGACUUCCACGCCAUCCAAGUGGCGGGGCCGCCACCAUUCUAAGUCACACUUCCACCUCGGCCUCUCAGCACCGCUCCCCUCCUGCCGGCGGCCUCGGCGUGGAGACCAAGCUCUGACCCGGCCCCGAGCUCCGAGGAGCCCAACGGCGCGAAGCCGGGACGGGAACCCCCGGCCAGGACCGGGAGCUGCCCGCGGGACCUCCC
ensembl:lncRNA